rnacentral:rRNA from 1 species
AGUGAACGCUGGCGGUAGGCCUAACACAUGCAAGUCGAACGGCAGCACAGUAAGAGCUUGCUCUUACGGGUGGCGAGUGGCGGACGGGUGAGGAAUACAUCGGAAUCUACUUUUUCGUGGGGGAUAACGUAGGGAAACUUGCGCUAAUACCGCAUACGACCUACGGGUGAAAGCAGGGGAUCUUCGGACCUUGCGCGAUUGAAUGAGCCGAUGUCGGAUUAGCUAGUUGGCGGGGUAAAGGCCCACCAAGGCGACGAUCCGUAGCUGGUCUGAGAGGAUGAUCAGCCACACUGGAACUGAGACACGGUCCAGACUCCUACGGGAGGCAGCAGUGGGGAAUAUUGGACAAUGGGCGCAAGCCUGAUCCGGCCAUACCGCGUGGGUGAAGAAGGCCUUCGGGUUGUAAAGCCCUUUUGUUGGGAAAGAAAAGCAGCAGGUUAAUACCCCGCUGUUCUGACGGUACCCAAAGAAUAAGCACCGGCUAACUUCGUG